GGAUCUUCCCGGACCGGGGCACGAACCCGUGUCCCCUGCAUCAGCAGGCGGACUCUCAACCACUGUGCCACCAGGGAAGCCCUCUAUUUCUUUUUACUCUUCUUUGAUCCAGUUUCAAGAACAAAUCUUAAGGAGACGGAAGCAACCUAAGUGUCCAUCGACAGAUGAAUGGAUAAAGAAGAUGUAGCACAUAUAUACAAUGGAAUAUUACUCAGCCAUAAAAAAGAAACGAAAUUGAGUUAUUUGUAGCGAGGUGGAUGGACCUGGAGUCUGUCAUACAGAGUGAAGCCUGUUAAGGCCAAUGCUACGUGGUCGUCCUGAGCUGGGU